GUGUCAGCCGCCGCGGUAAUACGUAGGUGGCAAGCGUUAUCCGGAAUUAUUGGGCGUAAAGCGCGCGUAGGCGGUUUUUUAAGUCUGAUGUGAAAGCCCACGGCUCAACCUUGGAGGGUCAUUGGAAACUGGAAAACUUGAGUGCAGAAGAGGAAAGUGGAAUUCCAUGUGUAGCGGUGAAAUGCGCAGAGAUAUGGAGGAACACCAGUGGCGAAGGCGACUUUCUGGUCUGUAACUGACGCUGAUGUGCGAAAGCGUGGGGAUCAAACAGGAUUAGAAACCCUGGUAGUCC
rnacentral:rRNA from 1 species